rnacentral:rRNA from 1 species
UGGCGGACGGGUGAGAAACACGUGGGUAACCUGCCCAUCAGAAGGGGAUAACACUUGGAAACAGGUGCUAAUACCGUAUAACAAUCGAAACCGCAUGGUUUUGAUUUGAAAGGCGCUUUCGGGUGUCGCCGAUGGAUGGACCCGCGGUGCAUUAGCUAGUUGGUGAGGUAACGGCUCACCAAGGCCACGAUGCAUAGCCGACCUGAGGGGGUGAUCGGCCACAUUGGGACUGAGACACGGCCCAAACUCCUACGGGAGGCAGCAGUAGGGAAUCUUCGGCAAUGGACGAAAGUCUGACCGAGCAACGCCGCGUGAGUGAAGAAGGUUUUCGGAUCGUAAAACUCUGUUGUUAGAGAAGAACAAGGAUGAGAGUAACUGUUUAUCCCUUGACGGUAUCUAACCAGAAAGCCACGGCUAACUACGUGCCAGCAGCCGCGGUAAU